AUCACUAAGAAGCUUUCAUGAUUCAAUUCAUUCAUGACAUUAUAAUAUACGACUAUUUUUCUUGGUCAGGCAAAAUUCUCCUAUCUUUGAGGACACGGCGAAUCCUCUAUUCUCUCUUCUGCACUGCCGCCUCGUAAAUCACUACUGUGAUGUUAGUGUUUUUUAUUGGGCCUAGGCCCAGUGGUGUGUAGCAAAGCAGAAUAGAGGGUCCCCAUGUUCUCAUAGUUGGACUGAGUUUUACAAUAAUAUCAACGGGCUUAAGGAGUGGAGCCACUUUAACGGAUUGGACACUUCAAACAUGCGUGACGAAUAAGUGUCGAGGAGUGUCGUGUUCGAAAUGUGUUCGAUAAGCUCCUCACAAAUUGCGAUUCUAAAUGGAAUAUCUACUGAGGGAUAUAUAAGAGCAUGUAUGUUUAUUUGAAGAGAAGGACAUCAAGUUACAUACGCCAUUGAGAAUCACAUGCAUCAUGCAUGGGACUUCACCGAAAACAAGCACUACUGUAUAUAUAUAAAGACAUAAUAGGUGUCUAUAUUUCAGAUAUAAUAUUCAUAUGAAUAUAUUUUUGGAAUAUUUUUAUACGAGUGUUAAUGUCUUUUCUAACACCCUUCGCUUUGUAAAAAUUCUUGUCAACAGCAAAUUAAAUAAAUGACAAGGAUUAGGUGAAAUGCUUCUAUACUUACUCUGAUUUAUAUAUACUACAAAGUUCACCAUUUUUAUAUUCUACAAAUUACAAAAUAGCUGAGGAGACGGUGCACAUGCAUGUAUGCCACUUUCAAGCAAUAACAAUUAGUUAUUGGUUUCUUAA